AGGACGAACGCUGGCGGCGUGCUUAACACAUGCAAGUCGAACGGUGAAGCCCUUCGGGGUGGAUCAGUGGCGAACGGGUGAGUAACACGUGGGCAAUCUGCCCUGCAUUCUGGGACAAGCCUUGGAAACGAGGUCUAAUACCGGAUACGACGCAUCUCCGCAUGGAGUGUGCGUGAAAGCUCCGGCGAUGCAGGAUGAGCCCGCGGCCUAUCAGCUUGUUGGUGGGUAAUGGCCUACCAAGGCGACGACGGGUA
rnacentral:rRNA from 1 species